GCGGAAGCGAGACUUGAUUAUCAAACCACACAGUGAACCCGAUUGUCCCACGCUUUUGAGCAGCGCGGUGCCCAGCACUGGCGGGCUCUGGGAUUGCCUCCUCACGGGGGUUUCCUGGGGUUAUCUGCACAAUUGCGUGUUUUCCCACACACCCAGUGUAACCACUGAGUUGUGCUUCAUUGCACAGCCAAACCCAAAUCUGAAGAUAAGGUUGCCAUGCAAUGGUAAUCACUAACGAAAACAACUCUCAACAACGGAUAUCUUGGCUCUCGCAACGAUGAAGAACGCAGCGAAAUGCGAUACGUAGUGUGAAUUGCAGAAUUCCGUGAACCAUCGAAUCUUUGAACGCAUAUUGCGCUCGAGCCUUCGGGCAAGAGCACGCCUGCCUCAGCGUCGGUUUACACCCUCACCCCCCUAUCUUUGUGAUAGUGCCAAGCCUACACGGUUUGCGGGAGUGGAAUUGGCUUUCCCAAUCUCUUGUCUUGCAACUGAUUGGGUUGGCUGAAGUGCAGAGGCUUGAGCAAGGACCCGUUAUGGGCAUCAACUGGAUAGGUAGUGCCAGCCACCCGGCUGUCUACACGAAGUUGUUGCUUGUGGACCUUGCUGGAGGCCAGCAGGAAACACGCCUAGCGUGUACUAAACCUUCGACCUGAGCUCAGACGAGACUACCCGCUGAACUUAAGCAUAUCAAUAAGCGGAGGAAAGCUAAAACCCCACGGAGGCGGCUUCUGUUCUGCAACCAAGCUAACGCAUUAUACUUUCGCUCUCAGCAGUACUGUCGAUAUUGUUGUCUGUUGUCUCUUUUGGGCCCUCAUUCAAGGGCUCACGAGUUUAACACUACGCUUACCGAGACUAUUACACUGUUGCACUCACGUAGGCGAUUGGUGCCAUACAUUCGGUAAGACAGGCGCCGUACUCGAAUUACGCUUCUACACCUCACUAUCUAGACAUCCGGUUAAUACUUACCGUACGAACUUCCUCUCAUAGCAGCGACUAGUGGGGCUAGGCUGGUCUCUCGCGAG
rnacentral:rRNA from 1 species